rnacentral:tRNA from 1 species
GUUUAAGUAGCUUAAUUAAAGCAUGACAUUGAAGUUGUUGGGAUGGGGAUUUUCCUCCUUGAAC